GAUGAACGCUGGCGGCGUGCCUAAUACAUGCAAGUCGAGCGAAUGGAUUAAGAGCUUGCUCUUAUGAAGUUAGCGGCGGACGGGUGAGUAACACGUGGGUAACCUGCCCAUAAGACUGGGAUAACUCCGGGAAACCGGGGCUAAUACCGGAUAACAUUUUGAACCGCAUGGUUCGAAAUGGAAAGGCGGCUUCGGCUGUCACUUAGGGAUGGACCCGCGUCGCAUUAGCUAGUUGGUGAGGUAACGGCUCACCAAGGCAACGAUGCGUAGCCGACCUGAGAGGGUGAUCGGCCACACUGGGACUGAGACACGGCCCAGACUCCUACGGGAGGCAGCAGUAGGGAAUCUUCCGCAAUGGACGAAAGUCUGACGGAGCAACGCCGCGUGAGUGAUGAAGGCUUUCGGGUCGUAAAACUCUGUUGUUAGGGAAGAACAAGUGCUAGUUGAAUAAGCUGGCACCUUGACGGUACCUAACCAGAAAGCCACGGCUAACUACGUGCCAGCAGCCGCGGUAA
rnacentral:rRNA from 1 species